AUUUCCAAUCGUAAUACAUCAUGCCUAAAAACUAAAAGCUAUGUCCUUCAAAUUUAAAGGAUUUGGCGGUAAUUUAGUCCAGUUAGAGGAACCUGUUCGAUAAACGAUAAACCCCGCAAAAUCUUACCUCCUCUCCAAAGUUUGUAUACCGUCAUUAUUAGAUGACUCCUAGAAGAAAAGUUAUUUCAAUAAAUAAUCUUUACUUAGUAUAUUAGAUCAAGGUGCAACCCAUGAGGAGGCCAGAAUGGGUUACAAUAAAACUUAUUUAAAACGGAAGAAAUAUUGAAAUAUUUUUCCGAAGGAGGAUUUAAUAGUAAGAUUAGUUUAACAAGCUUCCCUGAUAGAGGAUCUAAAUUGAGUACAUAUCGCCCGUCGCUUUCGUCUAAAAACGAAAUAAGUCGUAACAUAG
rnacentral:rRNA from 1 species